rnacentral:rRNA from 1 species
UACGGAAGGCAGCAGUGGGGAAUAUUGCACAAUGGGCGAAAGCCUGAUGCAGCUAUGCCGCGUGUAUGAAGAAGGCCUUUAGGGGUUGUAAAGUACUUUUCAUCGGGGAGGAAAAAACAAAACUAAUAAUUUUAUUUCUUGACGUUACCCGAAAAAGAAGCACCGGCUAACUCCGUGCCAGCAGCCGCGGUAAUACGGAGGGUGCUAGCGUUAAUCAGAAUUACUGGGCGUAAAAGAGCACGUAGGUGGUUUUUUUAAGUCAGAUGUGAAAAUCCCUGGGCUUAACCUAGGAACUGCAUUUUGAAACUGAAAUACUAGGGUAUCGUAGAGGGAGGUAGAAUUCUAGGUGUAGCGGUGAAAUGCGUAGAUAUCUGGAGGAAUACCUGUGGCGAAAAGCGGCCUCCUAAACGAAAUACUGACACUGAGGGUGCGAAAGCGUGGGGAGCAAAACAGGGAUUAGAUACC